rnacentral:rRNA from 1 species
UACGUAGGGUGCAAGCGUUAAUCGGAAUUACUGGGCGUAAAGCGUGGGCAGGCGGUUAUGUAAGACAGUUGUGAAAUCCCCGGGCUCAACCUGGGAACUGCAUCUGUGACUGCAUAGCUAGAGUACGGUAGAGGGGGAUGGAAUUCCGCGUGUAGCAGUGAAAUGCGUAGAUAUGCGGAGGAACACCGAUGGCGAAGGCAAUCCCCUGGACCUGUACUGACGCUCAUGCACGAAAGCGUGGGGAGCAAACAGG